rnacentral:rRNA from 1 species
GCAUAUCAAUAAGCGGAGGAAAAGAAACCAACAGGGAUUGCCCUAGUAACGGCGAGUGAAGCGGCAACAGCUCAAAUUUGAAAUCUGGCGCAAGCCCGAGUUGUAAUUUGUAGAGGAUGCUUCUAGGCAGCGGCCGGUCUAAGUUCCUUGGAACAGGACGUCAUAGAGGGUGAGAAUCCCGUAUGUGACCGGUUGGCACCUUCCACGUAGCUCCUUCGACGAGUCGAGUUGUUUGGGAAUGCAGCUCUAAAUGGGAGGUAAAUUUCUUCUAAAGCUAAAUACCGGCGAGAGACCGAUAGCGCACAAGUAGAGUGAUCGAAAGAUGAAAAGCACUUUGGAAAGAGAGUUAAAAAGCACGUGAAAUUGUUGAAAGGGAAGCGCUUGCAACCAGACUUGUCGGCGGUGUUCCGCCGGUCUUCUGACCGGUCUACUCGCCGUCGGCAGGCCAGCAUCAUCUGGGGCCGCCGGAUAAAGGCUUGGGGAAUGUAGCUCCUCUCGGGGAGUGUUAUAGCCCCUUGCACAAUACGGCGCGCCUCGGGUGAGGUCCGCGUUUCGGCAAGGAUGCUGGCGUAAUGGUUGUAAGCGGCCCGUCUUGAAACACGGACCAAGGAGUCGAUUAUCUAUGCGAGUGUUCGGGCGUCAAACCCCUACGCGUAAUGAAAGUGAACGGAGGUGGGAACUACGGUGCACCAUCGACCGAUCCGGAUGUCUUCGGAUGGAUUUGAGUAAGAGCAUAGCUAAUCGGACCCGAAAGAUGGUGAACUAUGCCUGAAUAGGGUGAAGCCAGAGGAAACUCUGGUGGAGGCUCGCAGCGGUUCUGACGUGCAAAUCGAUCGUCAAAUUUGGGUAUAGGGGCGAAAGACUAAUCGAACCAUCUAGUAGCUGGUUCCUGCCGAAG